rnacentral:rRNA from 1 species
AGUAACGGCGAGUGAAGCGGUAACAGCUCAAAUUUGAAAUCUGGCUCCUCGGGGCCCGAAUUGUAAUUUGUAGAAGAUGCUUUGGGUCUGGGCCUGGCCUAAGUUCCUUGGAACAGGACGUCGUAGAGGGUGAGAAUCCCGUAUGCGGCUGGCGCCCGUGCCCGUGUAAAGCUCUUUCAACGAGUCGAGUUGUUUGGGAAUGCAGCUCUAAAUGGGUGGUAAAUUUCAUCUAAAGCUAAAUAUUGGCCAGAGACCGAUAGCGCACAAGUAGAGUGAUCGAAAGAUGAAAAGCACUUUGGAAAGAGAGUUAAACAGUACGUGAAAUUGUUGAAAGGGAAGCGCUGGCAACCAGACUUGGGCGCUGUUGAUCCGCUAGGGUUCUCUCUAGGGCACUCGGCAGUGCGCAGGCCAGCAUCGGUUUGGGGGGUUGGAGAAUGGCUGGUGGAAUGUGGCUGUCUUUGGGCAGUGUUAUAGCCACCGGUGGCAUGCAGCCUCCCCGGACCGAGGACCGCGCUUCGGCUAGGAUGCUGGCGUAAUGGUUGUCAGCGACCCGUCUUGAAACACGGACCAAGGAGUCUAACAUCUAUGCGAGUGUUUGGGUGUUAAACCCAUACGCGGAAUGAAAGUGAACGUAGGUGAGAACCCGCAAGGGUGCAUCAUCGACCGAUCCUGAUGUCUUCGGAUGGAUUUGAGUAAGAGCAUAGCUGUUGGGACC